rnacentral:rRNA from 1 species
GAUGAACGCUGACAGAAUGCUUAACACAUGCAAGUCAACUUGAAUUUGGGUUUUUAACUUAGGUUUGGGUGGCGGACGGGUGAGUAACGCGUAAAGAACUUGCCUCACAGCUAGGGACAACAUUUGGAAACGAAUGCUAAUACCUAAUAUUAUGAUAAUAGGGCAUCCUAUAAUUAUGAAAGCUAUAAGCGCUGUGAGAGAGCUUUGCGUCCCAUUAGCUAGUUGGAGAGGUAACGGCUCACCAAGGCGAUGAUGGGUAGCCGGCCUGAGAGGGUGAUCGGCCACAAGGGGACUGGGACACGGCCCUUACUCCUACGGGAGGCAGCAGUGGGGAAUAUGGGACAAUGGACCGAGAGUCUGAUCCAGCAAUUCUGUGUGCACGAUGAAGUUUUUCGGAAUGUAAAGUGCUUUCAGUUGGGAAGAAACAAAUGACGGUACCAACAGAAGAAGUGACGGCUAAAUACGUG